ensembl:lncRNA LINC01471 long intergenic non-protein coding RNA 1471
GAGUGAGCUAAGUGCCUCAGGCGAGAUAAUGCAGAGGUGGGGGACAGAGUGGGUGGGGAGGGGAGCCGCCAUACAGUGGCCAGGACCAGCUUUGCCCAAGUGGUGGCAACCGCAUGACCACAGGAACGAUGGCGUGAGCCCCGUGGCAACCUGGAGGAAGGGAAAUAAUCCAGGAUCCAUUUCGUGUGGUCAUCUUGUCUCCCUGGUCCCCUCCAGCCUUUCCUCAUCUUUUGUGACCUGGUCACUCUGGAAGGGCGCUGGCCAGUUAGUCCACAGGAUGGGCCUCCCCUGGGGCUUUUCUGAUGCUUCCUUAUGAUGGCACUGGCAUCCUGAGGGGGAGGACCACAGAGAGGAGGUGCUCCUCAUCACACCACAUGGGGGUCCAUGCACCAGUGCCACUGCUUUCCAGGGCUCUUCACCUUCAUCACUGGUGGAGGUGGCGUCUGCCAAGAAGCAGAAAGUUGAGGCUUAGAAGGUGCACGGCCCUACCUCUUCCGAGGUGCCCCUGCGGGCUGUCUACAGACCAGGCAGCACAUGCCUGAUAGCAGCUGCAUAAGGAAAAGCAGGAGCCAGCUCGUGCACAGUGGCCUCAAGUGUGCACUGGGCAUGUUCUCUGCCUCACCAUCCCUGUGUGACAGAUGAAGCAUGGCAAGCCAGGCUCCAGAGAAGCAUCCUGAGGACCAGUGUUCCUAGGGACCUCAUUCUUCUGACCUCAUUCCUACAACGUUUUGUCACUGCAAAGGAAAUCACCAAGGCCAGCAUGACAGCCCUCAACAGAAGCCAAGGCCAAGUCCUCGAACUUCCUAGUCUGCACAAUGACAAGUGAGCUCAUGGAAACCUCUCCAUCGUUGACCAGGAUCUAUAGGAAAACCCUCCUCUUCUUCUAUAUGCAAAGGCUGCACAGCUCCUGGUUCACCUGCACCUCUCCAGACCACCAUGGUGCCUGCAGCUCUGAGGGCAUUUUAAAUCAUCACAGAACAACAAGCAUAUAAGCAUCAUGAGCGCCUCUGGACCUCUGACGUGCCUUGUGGAGGCCUGCCAGGCCCACGUUUUAAUUUACAUGAACUCGAUGCCCUUUUUGACAGGGAGAGAUCUGUUUCUUUAUUUGUUAGCCUUUCCCCUGGACCUGCUAGAUCUGGACCAUCCCCAGGAAAGGAAGGUCACACCACAAAGAUAAAUAUAAACAAAAUGAGUUAAUUAAGAAGGAGUUAGUCUGAAAUUCAAUAUUCCCAAGAGUCCAAGCCCUUCAGUUCUAAGUGAAUUUUUCUCCCCUGUAAAAUAGAACUGUUGGGUACAGUGAGAUUCCAUUGUAUAUGGUCUCACUUAGAAUUUGUCUCAUUUCACAUAUGCAAACACUGAGGCUCUGUGAGGUGAGAGAUCUGCUGCACUAGGUCCUGAAAGGCACAGCCAGUGAGCAUUCAGCCCAGGGUACAUCUGCUGGCUUCACAGUUGCCCUGCUAUUCUGUGGUCCAAUGUGGCUGCUCUAGCUCCAGCCAUCACAUCUGCAUUCUUACCAGUGGGAAGGGCAAAGCAUGACCUUUCUUUUUAAGACACGUUUGAAGUUGCAUACAUCAUUUCUGCUCAUGUUUCACUGGCCAGCAUUUAAACGGAUGGGCAUACCUAGCUGCAGGGAAGGCUGUAGUCUUCAUUCUGGGAUGAAGUGUACCCAGCUAAAAGUCUAGAGUUUUAUUUCUAUGAGAGAAAUUGAGCAUGGAUACUGGGGGACAAUGAACCAUUUCCACUUCAUCUUCUAAUAAAUGUGACAAGUGCAAUGCUUGUCAUAUAUUGUG